rnacentral:rRNA from 1 species
CCUACGGGUGGCUGCAGUGGGGAAUAUUGGGCAAUGGAGGCAACUCUGACCCAGCAACGCCGCGUGAAUGAUGAAGGUCUUCGGAUUGUAAAGUUCUGUGAUGGGGGAUGAACACAAUGACGGUAGCCCAAUAGCAAGCCACGGCUAACUACGUGCCAGCAGCCGCGGUAAUACGUAGGUGGCAAGCGUUAUCCGGAAUGACUGGGCGUAAAGGGGGCGUAGGUGGUGUAGUAAGUUGGCGGUGUAAGUCCGGGGCUCAACCUCGGCGCUACCGGUAAAACUAUUAGGCUAGAGUGCAGGAGGGGUAAGUGGAAUUCCUAGUGUAGCGGUGGAAUGCGUAGAUAUUAGGAGGAACAUCAGUGGCGAAGGCGACUUACUGGACUGCAACUGACGCUGAGGCACGAAAGCGUGGGGAGCAAACAGGAUUAGAUACCCUUGUAGUC